rnacentral:rRNA from 1 species
UGGACGGCCACAUUGGGACUGAGAUACGGCCCAGACUCCUACGGGAGGCAGCAGUGGGGAAUAUUGCACAAUGGGCGCAAGCCUGAUGCAGCGACGCCGCGUGGGGGAUGACGGCCUUCGGGUUGUAAACUCCUUUCGCUAGGGACGAAGCUUUUUGUGACGGUACCUAGAUAAGAAGCACCGGCUAACUACGUGCCAGCAGCCGCGGUAAUACGUAGGGUGCGAGCGUUGUCCGGAAUUACUGGGCGUAAAGGGCUCGUAGGUGGUUUGUCGCGUCGUCUGUGAAAUUCCGGGGCUUAACUCCGGGCGUGCAGGCGAUACGGGCAUAACUUGAGUACUGUAGGGGUAACUGGAAUUCCUGGUGUAGCGGUGAAAUGCGCAGAUAUCAGGAGGAACACCGAUGGCGAAGGCAGGUUACUGGGCAGUUACUGACGCUGAGGAGCGAAAGCAUGGGUAGCGAACAGGAUUAGAUACCCUGGUAGUCCAUGCCGUAAACGGUGGGCGCUAGGUGUGAGGGUCUUUUCACGACUUUCGUGCCGUAGCUAACGCAUUAAGCGCCCCGCCUGGGGAGUACGGCCGCAAGGCUAAAACUCAAAGGAAUUGACGGGGGCCCGCACAAGCGGCGGAGCGUGUGGAUUAAUUCGAUGCAACGCGAAGAACCUUACCUGGGCUUGACAUACACUGGAUCGGGCUAGAGAUAGUCUUUCCCUUUGUGGCUGGUGUACAGGUGGUGCAUGGUUGUCGUCAGCUCGUGUCGUGAGAUGUUGGGUUAAGUCCCGCAACGAGCGCAACCCUUGUCUUAUGUUGCCAGCAUUUGGUUGGGGACUCAUGAGAGACUGCCGGGGUCAACUCGGAGGAAGGUGGGGAUGACGUCAAAUCAUCAUGCCCCUUAUGUCCAGGGCUUCACACAUGCUACAAUGGUCGGUACAACGCGCAGCGACACUGUGAGGUGGAGCGAAUCGCUGAAAGCCGGCCUUAGUUCGGAUUGGGGUCUGCAACUCGACCCCAUGAAGUCGGAGUCGCUAGUAAUCGCAGAUCAGA